rnacentral:misc_RNA from 1 species
UUUCCGUAGGUGAACCUGCGGAAGGAUCAUUAAUGAGUUGUCAUGGGGUUCGAUGCUGGCAGCCAAUUUUUGGAUGCAUGUGCUUGCCCUAACAAUCAUCUUCCAAACACCUGUGCACAUUUUUGAGGGAGUCUUGAGUUGGUUGCCGCUCUUGGGUGAUUUUCUCACAUUCCCUUAAAUCAUUAUACGCUAUUAACAAUGUCGAACGUGCUCUGUGCCGCAAGGCUAUUAAUAUAAUACAACUUUUAACAACGGAUCUCUUGGCUCUC